rnacentral:rRNA from 1 species
UGUCAAGCUNCAAAGGGCUCACGGU